rnacentral:lncRNA from 1 species
UCAAACUCAACUCUCUGCCCGAACUUGAUUCAUCUCGAAAUUGAUCACUGAAUACACAUCGUUGAAGGUUAGUAUAGCCGAGAAAGAGAAUUAAUCUUGAAUUAAGCAAGUAACUAAUGACAUGCAAUCGAAUUUAAACCUUCUAACCUUUCAAACUUCAAAAAACUUCAAAUUCAACUCUCUGCUCGACUUGAUUCGUCUCAAAACUGCACUGAAUUCACAUCUCUGAAGGUAGUAUAGCCGUAUUUGUGAAGAAAAUUGUGAGUAAGAAGUGGCGAGAGAAAAUCGCACCAACGAGAGAAAAUCGUAGCGGCGAGAGAAAAUUGGGAGCGAAAGAUGGAAAGGACAAAGUGAAUUUGAUUUAAUUCAGCCAAAUUGUCAUAUAUGGUUAUAAAAAUAAUGUUGACAAAUAUAGUAAAUAUUUUUUAA